rfam:Dipodomys ordii contig_56395, whole genome shotgun sequence.
GGGAAUGUGGCUUAAUGGUAGAGUGCUUGCCUAGCAUGCAUGAAGCCCUAGUUCGAUUCCACAGUACCA